rnacentral:lncRNA from 1 species
AGAACAAGGACUCAGAAUGAGCUCUGCUCUUGGGGUCUGUGUCACUGCUUUGCCCACAUUAUCUACUUGACUUUGAAUCAGCCCACCCACUCAGGUUGGGGUCCUAAUAGGAAGACUGUGAUGCAAGAGGUGAAGUCACCAGCCUGAGUCAGGCAGCAAGCAAGGGAACAGGGUUGGGGGUCGGACACACACUGAUUUUCCUCCUAAAUCCAUGCUCUUUCUGAUCCAUAGCUGGGCCCUCAGUUUCCUCCUCUGGGGGAUGGAGCUAAUGCAGUAUCAUAGGGCUGCUGAGAGCUGAGGGGGAGCAACUAGGUGAAAAAAAUCAGGCUCCAUAAAUGUUAUAUUACUUCCUGCCUUCCUCCCCCUGGAUGGCUGAUCAGGGCCAUUUCUCCAAGUAAUUUAGCAAGGCGAGUGUCUGCGGUCCCUCUCCUCGCAGACUCCUGCCCUGCACUGAUAAGUUUUAUUAGCAAAGAGGGAAGGGAUUUUCUACGACCAAAUUUCUUCUGGGCUUUCCAGGAGAAAUUGAUGGAGCUGCCCGGCUCCUUGGCCGGCACUUCAUCCUGAUGGGAUUGCCUGGGCUGUGCGGGGACUGAGCGCUACAGAAACUGUUCUAGCCCAAGGAGGGAGGGCUGGGCAAUGUUAUUCUUCUGAAGGGGAAAAUCAUCAUUUGGCUUCUUGGGUUUAUGUACCCAGGGCACCAGGGAAGCAGCUGGAAUUUGCCUGGAAACCACAAUGCUGUCGGCUUGGUUCUCAAUAGGCAACUGGGGACAAGACUGCAUUUGAUGGUCCAUCACCUGUCUUUCUGUUCUGCAUAAUAAGAACCCAUUCUCGGGGCAUCUUAUUGGCUCUGCUGAGUUUCGCAUUGUUUGGUUUCCUGUAAAGGCACUCAGUAGGGGAUCCCAGAGCCAUACUGAGUCGAAGCUUCAGGAGAUGCAGAGACAUAUCUGCAAGGGCCCCAGCAACCAGUGACCUAAACCUACUUGAGAAGCAGUGGAGGACAAAGGAAGAUCCGCACAAACUGAGUCCUGGGUCUGUCUCCCACAAGCAGGACAUCUCAGGAAAGGAUUCCUGCUCCCCAACUCCUAAUGGCCAUAAGGGUAACUUCUACUCAAGCUGCUGCACCCACCACUUCCUCCCAGAAGCCCUCUGAUUCUGACUCUCAUUCCAUGCCUGGUCCAAACUCUUCUCUCUGAACUUGCAUUUAUGUCAGCACCACAGCAGGUGAAUUGACACAGGCUCUGUCUACGCAUCUCCUCCCCACUCUGGGCUGCUGGCACCCUGACGGCAGAGUUGUUUCUGUUCUGUAUGCCAGGGCCUAGCAGUCUAAGGCACCUCUUAGAUGCACAAUGAAUGAUGUGGAAUGAGUACAUGAAUGAACACAUGUUCUGGGUGUCUCAGUGUUCUUUCUCAUCUGUAAAUUGUGGGUAAAAUUACGUUACUUGGUUCCUGAGAUUACCUGAGAUGAACUAUAUGAAAGCAUGCUUAAAGUGUUAAGAGUUAGCACAGCAAUGUAACCCUUUGGGGAGGGGGGGCACCCCAAUAGUUGAACAGAACAGCAGGCAGCAGGGAUGACAGAAGGAGAGCAGGCUUUGGAGUCAGAGACUCCUGGUUCAAAUUCUAGUUCUACUACUCAGCGUAUGAUUGACCCUGGGUGAUGCACGUUGCUC